AACGGACUUUCACUUCUGGGUUACGCGCGUCCCGCCCCCACCAUCGGGCGACUAGGAUGAAGGAAAUUGUGCCCUGCGACUUUCCGUACCCGGGCUUGCGUCCGUUCUCUCUUCCCUCUCAAUUAGGCGCCGACACUUGAGCCGGAAGCACAACUUUUUAACGGUUCUUUGCUCUUCUUGGAGCGCAGUCGGCCCCGUUGAGGCCUCGGAGACUCUUGAGACGGCCAGUCACAACCCCUUUCUUACUUGAGCGCCUCCGCAAAUAACGCUGCUUCUGUCUUCCCUCUCGCAUUACUUUCGGAUGACACGUGAGAACGUGUUUCGGAGGGUAGAAAGCUGUGCAAAUUAUUGGGCUGCCUUUAAGGAUCCCCAAGGACCCGCAGUUUUGCCGCGUCAAACCCCUAUGUUCGCAGUGCAGGACAGGCCAAGGACUCUAGUUUGAAGGUGUAGGCGUGUCAUGGAGGAUGUGACUUCUGGUUGGAUCUAGAAAAGGCUCCGGACCUCACUAACAUUCCAGAACUACAUCAAGAGCACAUGUAAAAAUAAGCAAGAAUGGGAAUGAGGAAGGAGACAUAACCACAGAGACUGUGUGGCCGGAGAGGAGCAAAUUAGAGAAAAAGGUUGCAGGAAUGGGGUCAUAGAGGACUGGCCACCUUCCCCCCAACCAGUGACUCCUCAAGGAUCCCGAAAUCCCCCAUCAGGGAUCACCAAGGACCAGACAACAGCCAGGGGCAGCUGACAGGCGACUGUGGAAUGCAGUGAGGUGCUUUUCUCCUAGUCCUCUCUCCUGGCAGAACAUUCCCUGGGGAUGACAGCAUUGGGAGGCGUGCUCCAUGUUCCCUGAUCACCCUCCUCCAGGCACUGAAGAUUUCUGAAAACAAAUACUAUUUUCUAACUGAACAUUAUCCAAAUUCCAUAAAUCAUUGUGAAAACAUUCCAAGUGAAGAUUAAAUUGGAAGGCAAUUCUAGUUAGCUAUGGCAACUGCAACACCAGAAUUUAUCUCUGCUUCCUGUCGGAAACAUCACGAAAAGGUAAUGACAGGAUCGGAAUAGGCAUAAAUCCGGAAGACAAAGAAAUGGGGCAAGAAAGUGACAAAUGAUCAGAGAUGUCCACAAAAUUUAGGAAGGCAAAAAGCAAGAGACAAAAGAGAACUAGCAUCAUUACGUAGAGAAAGCUGGAUCUGGACCCCGGGGGAGGGGCACUGCUGGUUGAGGGAGUCUCAGCAGCUAGACUCAGGAAUAGGAGGCACCAGACAAAGAGGAGGAUGGCAACGGGAGGGGUUGUAAGUCUGCACAACAACAGACGAUGCCCCAUAGGACCGUGCCCGACACUUGGUCUUCCACAAACACUGGACUUGAAUGAGUGAAUGGUAAAGGAGCAGAUUUCCUUUAUGAGCUGAGGCCUCUCUGGUUGCCCUGUCAGGUAUGAAAGCACCAGAAGAACUCGUCCAUGUAGAGGGGAGGCCAUGAGGAUCUGAACAUUCUGGCACUGGGGUCCUGGGGUUCAGGGGCUACAUGCACUCAUGCCCCGUCCUCUGGCAAUGCUUCCCACGGCCCCACCAGAAGAGUUGGAGAUAGUUGGGAGAGAGGAGGGUGGAAGCAAAGGUGGGCCUUGGUGGGCUGCAGCUUCUGGGCAGACCUCAGCAUGUGACCUGGUCCCUAAACCCAGUUCCAGGGGCCCUUCACAUCUGUGGAAGCUUCUGGGGCAGUACCCAGGAUGGGGCACCACCUCAUGCCUCCCCCCACUUCCCUGAUGCAAGAACUGGCCCUCCUCACCCAGAUCUUCCCUUCCUUCAGUUGUGUUGAAGGGGGACCCUUGAGCAUUAAGGACACCAGGGUCCAGUUGUGCUGGUGGGUGAGCGUCACACACCCUGGCACCUACCAGCCAGUCCUGCUCCCAUGGAGGGGGGCCUGCACUUAUUAAAUGCCAACUGGGUUUACCUGACACUGAUUGAGUUGCCUCAGCAAGCCUGUGAGGAAGAACCAUUAUCCCCGGGGCUCUGAGGAGAAGGACGUGUGAGAAGCUGAGGGACGCCCCGCAGGCCAGUCUCAGAGCCCAGGCCUGUGUGGAGAAGUCACCCAAGCACACUCAAGGAUAAAUGAGCUUCCUUUCCUGACAGGAGUUGACUUACCUGGGGAGAGACUGGAGAGUAACCAAGCACUCCAGAGCCAGGUCAGAUUAGGGUCAGCGUCAUAGAAGCACAAGGAGGGAGAGAGGAAUUCCUGUUGGGAUGGCGGGAAUAGUCCAGACACCUUUCUGGGGAAGGAGGCAUUGGUACCGACUCUGGUGAGGAGAAGAAGGUGUCUUCAGGCAUCUUGGAGAGAGGAAGCAGCCGCGGUGUCAGGGACAUACGCUGUAGUGGUCAGCAGGGACCAGCUGGUGGGCAUCCUGGAAGGCCACAUGCGGUAAGGGGGACACCCCCUCUGGCAGUGUGUGCAGGACAGCUUCCAGAAGGCAGAGUCUGGGCAGUGGGCGCAGACAGGAAGGUGGAGUGGAAGGUCACUGCUGAGGGAAAAUCCGAGGGCCGGGGACUGAGGCGCCGGGAGGAGACAUGGUUUCACUCUACACUCUUCUGUGAUGUGUGUUCAUGCAUUACUUUCCCCUCCAAAAACCCUUUUGGAAAAUAGCCCAGUGAGUGGAUUGUUUAAAUGUGGUCUAUACAUACAAUGGAAUAUUAGUCAGCCGGAAAUAUUAUCCAGAAGGAAAUUCUGACAUAUGUUACAACAUGAGUGAGACUUGAGGGACAUUAUGCCAGACCCAAGAGGAUAGAUGCUGUCUGGUUCCACUUCUGUGAGGCACCUAGAGUAGUCAGCUUCAUAGAUUCAGAAGAAGGCUGUUGCCAGGGACUGAGGGGAGGGAGGAGCGGGGAGGUGCUGUUUAAGGCGGGCAGAGUGUUAAUUUGGGGAGGAUGGAAAAGUGCUGACUUAAUGCCCCUGAAUUCUACACUUAGAGAUGGCUGGUGAAGGUGGUCAGUGUUAUGUUAUGUCUCUUUUACCACAAGAGCAAAAAACCACAACAGACCAGUGAAAGACGCACACGAAUACUGCUUUGUCAUUGGGUCUGAGUGACAAGGAGCGCUGGGGCCAUUCACGGGGACAGGCAGGAGAGGGGGGUGAGCACCUUUGCGGGGAAAUGAAGUCAGCUCUUGGUGGCCACGUGGUGUGUGCCUGCUGUGCACUGUGUCCGGGAGGUGCUUUGGUCCUACCAUCUCUGAACCUCACAAGGCAGGUGUGCUUGUUUUCAUUUCUUCACAGGUGAGCUCAGGGGCCAGGGCCAGGGGACCCCAGGCCUGUCCAUCCCACGGUGCCAGGCUGGGUUUAGGAUGCCAGUCUCUGGAGAUACAGACAGCAGGCUGGCGGGUGGGGUGGAGCUUGGAGGGGCAGAGUCAGAGGGCAGUUUCCUGAGGGGAGAUCCUGGUAAAGCCGCGGCAUGCUGAAGCCCCAGAGAAGGGUGAAGGAGAGCAGAAGGCAAGCUCUGGAAGAAAUCCUGCAUUUAUGACACUGACCCCCUCCCUACCGCUGUAGGAGCUGCCAUGAUUAGAGCCUCCUCCUGCAGAAGUGCCCCCCCACACACACACCAAGUCCCCACAUUAAGACCUGGGCCUUGUUUAGCCCCUGCCCAGCAGCUGACUCUGGGGCCUUCGCCAACCACAAGGAGAGGAAGCAGCUCAAAAUGACCUCAUCCUAAAUCAGGCUGGCUCCGUGGAUCCCUGUCAACACUCAGGAGCACUCCGGGCAGUGAGGAGCCAGCCCGGAGGAGAGGUACAUCACCCUGCAGUCCACUGAGACAGCAGGAGCAUCUCCCCGGAAGCAAAGAAGCCAGCCACUCAGGAAGGUGCACAGGGAGACAAAGCCUCCCGGGUACUUUUUGCGGCCACCCCCAUCUCAGUCUGCCCCGAGAGUGGGGGUGAAAACACGGGCUUGCGUGGCUUCUGGGAGACAGCUGAGGAUGGAGCCACUCACGGCCUGAAGCCUGAGCAGUGGUCCUGCUGGAAUCCCGGAAGAUGGAACUGAUGUUCAUCAGCCCUUGCACAGGGUCCUGAGGAAAUGCCCAGAGGGUUCAGGGAGGCUGAUGGCAAGACUGUGGCCCGGUGAGUAGAGCUAAGUCAGCCCUGUCCUUUCAAAACCAGAGAAGCUGCACAUUUAGACUAGUCUUCUUGGUAACAGACAAGUGGUUAAGGGGUUUCCUUAGUAACUUAAGCUUGGAAACAAAUCCAGGUGUGGAGUUUGUUCUGCAAAGUGUGGGCUUUUGUCCACGUGUUUUGAUGUUGCUUCCCCCAGCUGAGGCCUUCAUGUCAGCCCACGAGUGCAGGGCCCUAAGCUCUGACCCUCCAGCUUCUGGCUCUCUGUGAAAACAAGGGGCGGAAAUUAAAACUACAGGGGUCCCUGGGUGGCUUAGGAGGUUGGGCAUCUGCCUUCGGCUCAGGUCAUGAUCUCACGGUUCUGGGAUUGAGCCCCACAUCGGGCUCCCAGCUCAGCGGGGAGCCUGCUUCUCCCUCUCCCACUGUCCUCCCCCGCCCCCAACUCUCUCUCUCUCUCUCACUUGCUUUCUCUCAAAUAAAUAAAUAAAAUCUUAAAAAAAAAAAAGGAUAUCUCUAAACACCCACCAGAAUGGCUACAAUUAAAAAGACUGACUAUGCCAAGUAUUGGCGAGGCUGUGGAGCAACUGAGAAUCUCAUACAAUGCUGCUGGAAAUAGAAAACUGCUUUGGAAACAGUUUGGCAGGUUCCUAUAAAGUUAAAAUACAUUUAUCAUACGCCCAGAGAUCCCACUUGGGUAUUUACCGAAGUGAAAUGAAAACAUGUUCAUUCAAAGCCUUGCCCAUGAAUGUUUAGAGCAGCUUUAUUUUUUAUUUAUCUUUUUUAAGACUUUUUUUUUAAUUGUAGCUGACACACAGUGUUACAUUAGUUUCAGGUGUACAACAUAUAGUGAUUCAAUAGGGUCUAAGGUUAUGCUGUGCUCACAAGUGUAGCUACCAUCUGUCACCAUACAAUGCUAUUAUUUAUUUUUUUUAAAGAUUUUUAAAAUUUAUUUGAGAGAGAGUGAGAAGAGCACGAAUUGGGGGCAGAGCAGAAGGAGAGAGAGACUCUCAAGCGGACUUCCUGCUGAGCGCAGAGCCCAACGCAGGGCUCGAUCCCAGGACCCCGGGAUCAUGACCUGAGCUGAAGCCAGACGCUUAACCGACUGAGCCCCUCAGGCGCCCCCUUACAAUGCUAUUAUAAUACCACUGAUUAUAUUCCUUAUACUGUGCCUUUUAUUCCUGUAACAUAUUCAUUUCGUAACUGGAAGCCUGUGCUUCUCACUCUCCUUCACCCAUUUUGCCCAUCCCUGCACCCCCACCCCCUCUGGCAACCAUCAGUUUGUUCUCUGUAUUUAUGGGUCUGUUUCUAGAGCAGCUUUAUUAACAAUAAACUGGAAACAAUCCAAAUGCCCAUCAACUAAUAAAGGGACAAAGAGCCUUCAUUCACACAGCAGGAUACUACCCAGAAUAAAAAGGACAACCUAUUGGCACAUGAAUGAUAUUGAGUGCAUUAGGUUCUGUGAAGGAAGCAGACAAAAAUGAGUGCAUGCUGCAUGAGUCCAUUCGUAGAAAAUUAAAGAUUUUUCAAAAAGAGAUAUUUAUUUAUUUCAGAGAGAGAUCUCCUGAUUAGGGGGAGGGUCAGAGGGAGAAAAUCUCAAGCAGACUCCCUGCCGGACACAGAGCCCAACAUGAGGCUCGAUCUCACGACCCAGGAGAUCACGACCUGAGCUGAAACCAAGAGUUGGUCACUUAACCGACUGACCACCCAGGUGCCCCUCCAUUCAUAUAAAAUUAAAGCACAGGCAAACUGUGGGGUCAGAAAUGAGAUCAGUGGUCACUUGGAGCCAGGGGAAGGGGGAGGAGAUUGGCAGCAAAGGUGCAUGAGAGAACUUUUGGGGUGAUCGAAAUAUUCUGUACCUCAAUUGUGGUACUGGUUGUACAAGUGUAUGCAUUUGUCCAAAUUCUGUCCACCAUACACUUAAAAUUUUUUAAAUAAAAUAAAUGUUAUUGUAUGUAAAUUAUAUCCCAAUAAAGCUGUUUUUUUAAAAUUUUCUUGAUUUUUUUUAAAGACUUUAGCUCUAUUUUUUUUAUUUUUUAAAGAUUUUAUUUAUUUAUUUGAGAGAGAGAAUGAGAGACAGAGAGCAUGAGAGGGGGAGGGUCAGAGGGAGAAGCAGACUCCCCGCCGAGCAGGGAGCCCGACGCGGGACUCGAUCCCGGGACUCCAGGAUCAUGACCUGAGCCGAAAGCAGUCGCCCAACCAACUGAGCCACCCAGGCGCCCAAAUUUUCUUGAUUUUUAUUUUAUUAUAUAUAUUUUUUUAAUAAGCUCCACAUCCAACAUGGGGCUUGAACUCACGACCCUGAGAUCAACAGUUGCAUGCUCUACCAAAUGAGCCAACCAGGUGCCCUAAAGCUGAUUUUUAAAAAAUGAGGAAUAGUCGGGGUGCCUGGGUGGCUCAGUCGGUUAAGCAUCCGACUCUUGAUUUCAGCUCAAGCUUAGUGGAGUGUCUGCUUCUCUCCUUCCCCCCUCCCCCACACUCUCGCACAUGUUCUCUCCCUUUCACAUAAAUAAAUAGAUUAAAAAAAAAAAAAAAGGAACAGUAAGUGUUUUUAGAAUACUGAGAAGGGGAAAA